AGACCCGAAACCCGGUGAUCUAGCCAUGGGCAGGUUGAAGGUUGGGUAACACUAACUGGAGGACCGAACCGACUAAUGUUGAAAAAUUAGCGGAUGACCUGUGGCUGGGGGUGAAAGGCCAAUCAAACCGGGAGAUAGCUGGUUCUCCCCGAAAGCUAUUUAGGUAGCGCCUCGUGAAUUCAUCUCCGGGGGUAGAGCACUGUUUCGGCUAGGGGGCCAUCCCGGCUUACCAACCCGAUGCAAACUGCGAAUACCGGAGAAUGUUAUCACGGGAGACACACGGCGGGUGCUAACGUCCGUCGUGAAGAGGGAAACAACCCAGACCGCCAGCUAAGGUCCCAAAGUCAUGGUUAAGUGGGAAACGAUGUGGGAAGGCCCAGACAGCCAGGAUGUUGGCUUAGAAGCAGCCAUCAUUUAAAGAAAGCGUAAUAGCUCACUGGUCGAGUCGGCCUGCGCGGAAGAUGUAACGGGGCUAAACCAUGCACCGAAGCUGCGGCAGCGACACUAUGUGUUGUUGGGUAGGGGAGCG
rnacentral:rRNA from 2 species